rnacentral:rRNA from 1 species
GAUGAACGCUGGCGGCGCGCCUAACACAUGCAAGUCGAACGGCACCCCUCUCCGGAGGGAAGCGAGUGGCGAACGGCUGAGUAACACGUGGAGAACCUGCCCCCUCCCCCGGGAUAGCCGCCCGAAAGGACGGGUAAUACCGGAUACCCCGGGGUGCCGCAUGGCACCCCGGCUAAAGCCCCGACGGGAGGGGAUGGCUCCGCGGCCCAUCAGGUAGACGGCGGGGUGACGGCCCACCGUGCCGA